GGACCUUGUGUCAAACAGAAACGCAACCGGACACUCUCUUGACGUGAAUAACUCGUCUUCGAAUAGACGUACGCUGGGCGUGGAUCCCUUCCGGUGUCAAAGUCAUCAAAUAAACACAACAAAACAAAUGCAAUUUCUUGGGCUCUUAAAACAAAGCAAUCCAGUAACAAUAUUUUAGGAAGACAUAGAGUCAAUGAGAGCAACAUUGGUCUUGUAAGCUUGAUGUCCACCACUUGGUGACUCCAAUGAUCGUUUUUUUGUGGUCCAAGACAAGCAUGUUGCGCUGAAUCGAAAACCCGAUUUUCCUUGUGAAGAGCCGCGGGCAAAUCACAGUUUUUGUCAUUUUAUAGUCUGCAUUUAAUUAGGUUAUUGAAUUAAUUCCAGCCAUUUUAAUUGGAUGAAACCUUUUUCUUCUUUUUUUUUUCUUUUUAGAAAAAAAUAUUAUCAUAUUAUAGGCAUUUCUUCCAUAUUCGUCUUUCACGUGAGAGUGUUUAAAUGGGCUUCUAAUCUAGGAAUCGUUUUUAUGGUGUCUAUAAUCGGAAUGACCAACUUCAAGUAUUGUCAUAUAGUGUUUUUGAAACAGUAUAUUGAGUGUUAAGGAAAUCUGGAAUCCACUCAUGAUGUAUAAGAAUGUAUUUUGUCUGCAGAUGGUACAUCCCGGUCUCUCUUUCAUUCUCCUCCCUCCUGCCAUCAGUGCCUUCCAUCUCUGCGUCAUCUCAUUUUCCUAUGUUAAGGGAAUUGUGAAACCCGGUGACGGCUGUGCACCUUCCAUCGUUCUUCGUUCUAGUGAUUGCUGGGAAGCUGCAGGGGAGUGAAGCAGCACGGAGCUGACCUUAUAAAGCCUCCGCCCGACGAGACCGCACCUCCGUCCCAGAGUCCAUGGAAGCCAAGGCCAAGUCGGCUCCCUUGCCCAAAGGGCUAUCAAAAGCAGAGAAAAAGGAGCCAGCAGCCCCACGCAAAGCUGAAGCUGCCCCUGCAACGCCAGAGCCAGAGAUUCCUCCUGCCCAGGAUGGGGCAGCAGAAGGCGACGUAGGUGACGGGGCCGCGGCCGGCUGCACAGACUCUCUGGAGCGCCUGAAACCUUUCCUCAUUGGUGGGGCUGUAAUCGCAGUUGGAGCCAUUUUGCUGGGGGCGAUGCUACUCGCAAGGAGAAAUUAAACUCACAAUCUCAAAAAUUUGCUCCAUGUAAGAUUGGUUCACAAAUAAUUACGGUUGAUAUUGAAAAUGGGGAGGUUUUUUUCUUUUUUUUUUUUUUUUGGCAAGCAAACUUAAACAACUCAAAAUAAGUUUUAUUACAAACAGUAUAUGCAUGAUAUUAGAAUUUACAAUCUGUUGAAACGACACAAUAGGGCUGAGUGUAUAAGACAAAACUCUCUUGGGUAGCUUUCAUAUCUGCUUUAUAUUAUUUGCUCAAAUGUUGACAAAAACCCACAAUAUUUGCGUUGUAAAAGACCUACGUUCAAUUUACAAAGAGCUCCAGAAAAUGUUACUCCUGGACUGAAAAAUAAUAUAAUUUAACUAUCACAGAUUCUAGGAUUUAUUUGACUUUUUUUUUUUUUUUUAUAAUCAAAGAGCAGACAUGGAAAAAUGUAAUGUUAAAUGAUCAUAAGACAAAAUACUAAAGGAUUCAGCAUGCUGAGGUGUACAAAUGGCCUGUGCGGGAAUAUUUGCGUUACAGCGCGAAAACGGCAGCCUAGUAUUGCGGAGUUAUUUCUUGAUGUAGAAUAAGACAGAUUUAUUAUUAUUAUUAUUAUUUUUGUGUUACUGUCAAAUGAUGUCACAAAUCAAUAGCCUUUCAUGUAUAACACAACAUCUGCAAAGGUUCUGCAUCAAUAUGUUCACUGUUACCGUAAAUACUUUGUUGUAGACUGGCAGACCAGUCAUUAGUGGUUCGGUAUCAAGUUCAGUAGCUGCAGUUGAAUCGGGCUUUAUUCCGCUGUGCUUUGCUCCCUCUGUAUUCCAUCAAGAACAACCCUUGUUUUCAGUACCUUAUUAAUAACUAAGUAUAGAUAGGCCCAUUUAGAGUGCUAAUGUAAUGGAAGUGGAUUAGUCAAGCAGUCAUUAUUUUAUGUCUGCACACAUUGCACCCUCGCAUGUAAAAAACAAAAACAAAACAAAACACCACCACCGCUUUGCAAGUGACUAUGUUUGCAACAUAUUUGUCAUCAUAAAUGCUGUAUGUGUGUACAUCGAUGCAUUCUACACCCCUAACACAUCCAAACAACACAAUGCCAAAACUAGAAGUAACUUCACCCGACAUUGUACAAAUCAGUGUACCAAAAAAAAAAAAAAAAAAAAAAAAGUCUUCUUUUAAUAACUCAAUAACAGCAGCGUAUAAAUGCAAUAAUUCAGAUAGGAUUCCUCAGUUAGCACAUUAUGUUGUGCUGUAGCAAGUUAUUUCACAUAAAUAAUGAUGUAAUAAUAACACUAGUGAUGGUCAAAUGUGAUGUUUAAUAAAAUGAAAAUGAUGUUAGAGGAGAUAGAAAGUAUGCAUUUAUGGUGACUAUAAUUAUAAUGAUGGUUAUGAUAUAUUUUUGAUAUAUAACAAAGUAUUGGGUACUACCCUCUCCCCCCAGUGUAUACACAGAAUGUGGUUGUGAUGCGACCUUUAUUAAAGGCAGUGAACCAAC